GGGAAUGUGGCUUAGUGGUAGAGUGCUUGCCUAGCAUGCAUGAAGCCCUGGAUUCAUUUCCU
rnacentral:tRNA from 1 species